rnacentral:rRNA from 1 species
AGUCUGGUGCCAGCAGCCGCGGUAAUUCCAGCUCCGCAAGUGUAUAUCUAUGUUGCUGCGGUUAAAAAGCUCGUAGUUGGAUCUGCGUGUUUAGCGUCCGGUUCGACUUUUGGUCGUUACUGGAACGCGACACAGAUGUGCUGGUUUGCCGUUGAUGCUCUUAAUCGGGUGUCAGUGGCGGCUAGCGAGUUUACUUUGAAAAAAUUAGAGUGCUCAAAACAGGCGUUUCGCCUGAAUAUUUCUGCAUGGAAUAAUAGAAUAGGACUUCGAUUCUAUUCUGUUGGUUUUCGGAAUGCGAAGUAAUGAUUAAGAGGGACAGACGGGGGCAUUCGUACUGCGACGUUAGAGGUGACAUUCUUGGAUCGUCGCAAUACGUACUACUGCGAAGGCAUUUGCCAAGAAUGUUUUCAUUAAUCAAGAACGAAAGUUAUGGGUUCGAAGGCGAUCAGAUACCGCCCUAGUCAUAACCGUAAACGAUUCAAACUGGGCGCCCGACGGUGUUUUUAUUGACCCGUCGGGAACCCUCCCGGAAACGAAAGUGUUCGUGUUCCGGGGGAAAUAUGUCUGCAAAGAGGAAACUUAAAGGAAUUGACGGAAGGGCACCACCAGGGGUGGAGCCUGCGGCUUAAUUUGACAACACGGGGAAACUCACCCGGCCCGGACACCGUAAGGAUUGACAGAUUGAGAGCUCUUUCUUGAUUCGGUGGGUGGUGGUGCAUGGCCGUUCUUAGUUGGUGGAGUGAUUUGUCUGGUUUAUUCCGAUAACGAACGAGACUCUGGCCUGCUAACUAGUGUUCACAUCUUUACGUGUGCUUCGCUUCUUAGAGGGACAGGCGGCUUCCAGCCGCAUGAAGAAGAGCAAUAUCAGGUCUGUGAUGCCCUUAGAUGUCCGGGGCUGCACGCGCGCUACACUGAAAGAAUCAGCGUGUACGUUACCUGGCUCGAAAGAGUCGGGUAAUCCGGUGAAAAUCUUUCGUGAUUGGGAUCGGGACUUGCAAUUAUUUCCCUUGAACGAGGAAUCCCUAGUAAGUGCGGGUCAUCAGCUCGCGCUGAUUACGUCCCUGCCCUUUGUACACACCGCCCGUCGCUGCCCGGAACUGAGCCGUUUCGAGAAAAAUGGGGACUGUCUACUUGAGGUCUUCACGGACUUUUUGUAAAUGGAAACCGCUU